AAAAGCGGUCAAUGACAGUGCUUACGGUCCAAUGACUCCAGUUUUUACUCCUUCUUUUUCCUUAGUGCUCACGGUCGCGACAACACAUGAACCAAGAUUGCGACGGGCCGACGACAAUCUCCUCAACAGCUCACGGCUUCGGGCUUCCUCUGCAAUCUUUAUUAACAGCAGCACGCCGGCAACGAUCUCCUUUCUUUCCCAUCUUCAACAGCAGCAGGCGACAUCGGGCCUCUUCACAAGCAGCCGUUUAGCUCAUCAUCAUCAUCUUCAACAGCAGCGGGCGACACCGUAAGUUCAUUUUGCCUUCAUCAUCAUCACUGCAGUAGUAGAUUUUGCCCCUGUUAUAGAUUUGUAUUUUACCCUGUUAAGUGUUGAGUUUAAUUGUCCGGUAAUAAAGAUUUGCAUUUUGCCCUGUUCAUUUUGCCUUCAAAAUCUUCUAAUAGAUUUGUAUUUUGCCCUGUAAUUCAUUUUGCCCAGUCCUGUAAUUUGUAUAUGUAUAAUGUUGAAUUGAAUGGAAUUGAUCGGGUGAGAAAAUUGUUGAAUUGAA